GACGAAGGGGGCUAGCGUUGUUCGGAAUUACUGGGCGUAAAGCGCGUGUAGGCGGUUAUCCAAGUCGGAUGUGAAAGCCUUGAGCUCAACUCAAGAAAUGCAUUCGGUACUGGGUGACUAGAGGGCCGGAGAGGAUAGUGGAAUUCCCAGUGUAGUGGUGAAAUACGUAGAGAUUGGGAAGAACACCAGUGGCGAAGGCGGCCACCUAGCCCGCACCUGACGCUGAGGCGCGACAGCGUGGGGAGCGAACUGG
rnacentral:rRNA from 1 species